rnacentral:lncRNA from 1 species
GACGCACCGCAUUCCGCAUGGCGGAAACCUUCCCUUUGCCGAUCACGUAGACGGUGCAGAAAUCAGGUACCCCCUUGGUGACACUGGCGGAGACAUCAUGAUUCUUGAAUCGCCUGAGAGAAAGAAGAACACCGUUUCAGCCUGAGACAAGCUCACGAACACAGUUCUCGGAUCUCAAAAUGCAGUGGAGAUGUAAGAGACCUGACGAAUCCACCCUUCGAUGAGGCACCGACCACCAACUUCUCUAUGGCAGCAUGGGAAACAAAUUCGAUUAUGGCCUUGGCUGCAUCGACAUCUUCCAGCAGCACAUCCUUGCAGCG